rnacentral:rRNA from 1 species
UACGUAGGGUGCGAGCGUUAAUCGGAAUUACUGGGCGUAAAGCGUGCGCAGGCGGUUUUGCAAGUCUGUCGUGAAAUCCCCGGGCUCAACCUGGGAAUGGCGAUGGAGACUGCAAGGCUGGAAUCUGGCAGAGGGGGGUAGAAUUCCACGUGUAGCAGUGAAAUGCGUAGAGAUGUGGAGGAACACCGAUGGCGAAGGCAGCCCCCUGGGCUAAGAUUGACGCUCAUGCACGAAAGCGUGGGGAGCAAACAGG